GGGGAUGUAGCUCAGUUGGUAGAGUGCUUGCCUUGCAUGCAUUAGGCUCUGGGUUCAAUCCCUAGCACCA
rnacentral:tRNA from 1 species